AUUGAACGCUGGCGGCAUGCCUUACACAUGCAAGUCGAACGGCAGCACGGGAGCAAUCCUGGUGGCGAGUGGCGAACGGGUGAGUAAAGCAUCGGAACGUGCCCAGUCGUGGGGGAUAACGUAGCGAAAGCUACGCUAAUACCGCAUACGAUCUGUGGAUGAAAGCGGGGGACCGUAAGGCCUCGCGCGAUUGGAGCGGCCGAUGUCAGAUUAGGUAGUUGGUGAGGUAAAGGCACACCAAGCCGACGAUCUGUAGCUGGCCUGAGAGGACGACCAGCCACACUGGGACUGAGACACGGCACAGACUCCUACGGGAGGCAGCAGUGGGGAAGUUUGGACAAUGGGCGCAAGCCUGAUCCAGCAAUGCCGCGUGCAGGAUGAAGGCCUUCGGGUUGUAAACUGCUUUUGUACGGAGCGAAACGGCUUCCACUAAUACUGGGGGCUAAUGACGGUACCGUAAGAAUAAGCACCGGCUAACUACGUGCCAGCCGCCGCCGUAA
rnacentral:rRNA from 1 species